UGACUUACCUGGGCAACAGAGGUG
rnacentral:piRNA from 1 species